rnacentral:rRNA from 1 species
CCAGACUCCUACGGGAGUCAGCAGUGGGGAAUUUUGGACAAUGGGCGCAAGCCUGAUCCAGCUAUUCCGCGUGUGGGAUGACGGCCCUCGGGUUGUAAACCACUUUAGUAGAGAACGAAAAGGAGCUAUCGAAUAAAUAGCUCUGCUGACGGUACUCUAAGAAUAAGCACCGGCUAACUACGUGCCAGCAGCCGCGGUAAUACGGAGGAUCCGAGCGUUAUCCGGAUUUAUUGGGUUUAAAGGGUGCGUAGGCGGUUUGAUAAUUUAGGGGUGAAAUGUCGGGGCUCACCCCCGGCGAGCCGUUGAAACUGGCUGUCUUGAGAUGUCGAGAGGUAUGCGGAAUGCGCAGUGUAGCGGUGAAAUGCUUAGAUAUUGCGCAGAACUCCGAUUGCGAAGGCAGCAUACCGGCGGCGAUCUGACGCUGAGGCACGAAAGCGUGGGUAUCGAACAGGAUUAGAUACCCCUGUAC